GGCUUCGGCCUGGUUAUUCAUAACCCUUUGUUGUCCGACUCUGUUGCCUCCGGGGCGACCCUGCCUUCGGGCGGGGGCUCCGGGUGGACACUUCAAACUCUUGCGUAACUUUGCAGUCUGAGUAAACUUAAUUAAUAAAUUAAAACUUUUAACAACGGAUCUCUUGGUUCUGGCAUCGAUGAAGAACGCAGCGAAAUGCGAUAAGUAAUGUGAAUUGCAGAAUUCAGUGAAUCAUCGAAUCUUUGAACGCACAUUGCGCCCCCUGGUAUUCCGGGGGGCAUGCCUGUUCGAGCGUCAUUUCACCACUCAAGCCUCGCUUGGUAUUGGGCAACGCGGUCCGCCGCGUGCCUCAAAUCGUCCGGCUGGGUCUUCUGUCCCCUAAGCGUUGUGGAAACUAUUCGCUAAAGGGUGUUCGGGAGGCUACGCCGUAAAACAACCCCAUUUCUAAGGUUGACCUCGGAUCAGGUAGGGAUACCCGCUGAACUUAAGCAU
rnacentral:rRNA from 1 species